ensembl:lncRNA
GUCCCAAUGUGUCAUGUGAUUUCUGUAACUCAUGUUACAUGUCCCAAUGGGUCAUGUGAUUUCUGUAACUCAUGUAAUAGGUCCCAAUGGGUCAUGUGAUUUCUGUAACUCAUGUAAUAGGUCCCAAUGGGUCAUGUGAUUUCUGUAACUCAUGUAAUAGGUCCCAAUGGGUCAUGUGAUUUCUGUAACUCAUGUAAUAGGUCCCAAUGGGUCAUGUGCUUUCUGUAAUAUGUCAUUCUAUGUCUUUUUUUUUACUGUCUGAUAUUCCUAUUAAUUAUGUUAAUAUGUAUUCCUAUUCAUUAUAUACAUUUUAUAUAUAUUCAUUAUGUUAAUCUUUAUUUCUAUUUAUUAUGUAAAUGUUUUCUUCCUAUUCAUUAUGUGGAUUUUUAUUUAUAUUUUUGGUCUCUCUUGUCUCG